GAGGAAUGUAUAGCAAUAGCUAGUUGCAUCAUAGUAGAUAUGAUGCAAGAUCGACUAUGUUGAAUAAAAUUCUAGGUAGAAUUAUGAUAAUGACAUUGUCUGCCUAUGUGUCUUGACCAAAUUACGUGCCAGCAGUCGCGGUAAUACGUAGAAGACUAGUGUUAUUCAUGUUUAAUCGGUUUAAAGGGUACCUAGACGGUAGAUCAAGCUUUCUAAUAAAGGAAAAGGACUAAUUUACUAGAGUUACUUAUGAGGGGGUAUUAAAGUACUGCUGGUGUAGAGAUGAAAUUCUGUCAUACCUCUUUUCAAAAGAAAAACCAUGGCACAGGUAUAGGCGAAGGCAUCCCCUUAUGUGAUAACUGACGUUGAGGGACGAAGGCUUUGUGUAGCGAACAGGAUUAGAUACCCCAGUAGUCGAAGCAGAAAAUGAUGAAUGUCAUAGAUUAGAUAUAUAAGUUUAUUCUAUAAAUGAAAGUGUAAGCAUUCCACCUCAUGAGUAAUUUGGCAACAUUGGAACUGAAAUCAUUAGACCGUUUCUGAAACCAGUAGUGAAGUAUGUUGUUUAAUUUGAUGAUCCGCAAAAAACCUUACCACAAUUUGAAUAUUUAUAUUAUUUAUUGUUUUAUUAUUAAUAUUCUUAUCUUUUUCUUCUUUUUCUUCAUCAUUUUGAUGAAGAAAAUGAUGAAGAAAAUGAAGAAUAUUAAUAAUAAGGCAAUAAGAUAUAUUUACAAGCGUUGCACGGCUGUCUUCAGUUAAUGUCGCGAGACUUUGGUUAGUUCCAUUAAAUUAACGUAAACCCUUACUUUAUUUUUAUAUAGAGUAGUUCCCCGCUAUAUUGGAUAUGAU
rnacentral:rRNA from 1 species